GUGGAGGCGUGGGACCCGAUUGGGUAGUAGGUAAGUGAUGGGGUGACGCAGUGGGGUAGCUCUACCCGGCGGUGGUUGUCCGGGGGUAAGCGUGUAGCCCGGGGUGCAGGUAAAUCCGUGCCCCGCACAAGGGUGAGGCGUGAUGCCGAGCUGUUUUCAGUGAAGUGAGUGAUCCCGUGCUGUCGAGAAAAGCCUCUAGCGAGUUCGCGGGCGGCCAGUACCCUAAACCGACGCAGGUGGUCAGGUAGAGUAUACCGAGGCGUUCGGGUGAACCAUGGUUAAGGAACUCGGCAAAUUGUCCCCGUAACUUUGGGAGAAGGGGAGCCCUGUCCGGUGAUGGCUUUUUCGGUCUGAGCUGGGUGGGGUCGCAGAUACCAGGGGGAAGCGACUGUUUAUUAAAAACACAGGUCCGUGCGAAGUCGUAAGACGCUGUAUACGGACUGACGCCUGCCCGGUGCCGGAACGUUAAGAGGACCGGUUAGAUCUUUCGGGGUCGAGGCUGGGAAUCUAAGCGCCGGUAAACGGCGGUGGUAACUAUAACCAUCCUAAGGUAGCGAAAUUCCUUGUCGGGUAAGUUCCGACCUGCACGAAUGGCGUAACGACUUCCCCGCUGUCUCAACCAUGGGCCCGGUGAAAUUGCACUACGAGUAAAGAUGCUCGUUUCGCGCAGCAGGACGGAAAGACCCCGGGACCUUCACUAUAGCUUGACAUUGGUGUUUGGGAUGGUUUGUGUAGGAUAGGUGGGAGCCGGUGAAGCUGUCACGCUAGUGGCGGUGGAGGCGUUGGUGAAAUACCACUCUGGCUGUUUCGGGCAUCUAACCUUGGGCCGUGAUCCGGUUCGGGGACAGUGUCUGGUGGGUAGUUUAACUGGGGCGGUUGCCUCCUAAAGGGUAACGGAGGCGCCCAAAGGUUCCCUCGGCCUGGUUGGCAAUCAGGUGUUGAGUGUAAGUGCACAAGGGAGCUUGACUGUGAGACGGACGUGUCGAGCAGGUGCGAAAGCAGGGACUAGUGAUCCGGCACCGGCGUGUGGAAGCGGUGUCGCUCAACGGCUAAAAGGUACCCCGGGGAUAACAGGCUGAUCUUCCCCAAGAGUCCGUAUCGACGGGAUGGUUUGGCACCUCGAUGUCGGCUCGUCGCAUCCUGGGGCUGGAGUUGGUCCCAAGGGUUGGGCUGUUCGCCCAUUAAAGCGGCACGCGAGCUGGGUUUAGAACGUCGUGAGACAGUUCGGUCCCUAUCCGCUGCGCGCGUUGGAGACUUGUGAAGGGCUGUCCCUAGUACGAGAGGACCGGGACGGACGAACCUCUGGUGUGCCAGUUGUUCCGCCAGGAGCAUGGCUGGUUGGCUACGUUCGGGAGGGAUAACCGCUGAAAGCAUCUAAGUGGGAAGCCUGCUUCGAGAUGAGGUCUCCUGCCCUUUCGAGGGGGUAAGGCUCCCGGUAGACGACCGGGUUGAUAGGCCGGGUGUGGAAGCGUUGUGAGGCGUGGAGCUGACCGGUACUAAUAGGCCGAGGGCUUGUCCG
rnacentral:rRNA from 1 species